GUCUAUCAAGCAAAAAGAAAUUAAGUUUGACCCCCCGAAACUAAGUGAGCUACUUUAGGACAGCUUAAUGGGCAAACCCGUCUCUGUUGCAAAAGAGUGGGAAGAUCUUAAAGUAGAAGUGAUAUACCUAACGAACUUAGCGAUAGCUGGUUAUUUAGGAAAAGAAUUUUAGUUCAACCUAAAGCCCCCUCAAUACCUCAAAAUUAAAAAUUAACUUUAGAGCUACUCAAAUAAGUCACAGCUUGUUUGAAACAGGAUACAACCUCAACCCGUGGGUAAUUAACCAAUCAAGUAGGCCUAAAAGCAGCCACCUUUGAAAAAGCGUCAAAGCUUAUUUCUUCACACACCCCAUAAUCCCUUAAAACACUAAAAACCCCUCAAUAGUACUAAAUAAUCCUAUAUCUCUAUAGGACUCUUUAUGCUAAAACUAGUAACAAGAAGAACCUUCUCUUAUAUGUAAGCAUAGAUCAGAAUAGAAAUACUACUGAUAUUUAACAGCUAUAGCCCGCAGUACCAAACUACUUAGAAAAACCUACUGACUUAGCUGUUAAUCUAACACAAGAACAUAAAAAGAAAGAUUACAAGAAAAAGAAGGAACUCG
rnacentral:rRNA from 1 species